GAAACCCAUCGCCACCAUUCCCCAAAACAGGAAAGACAAAUCCCAGCAGCAAACACAGCUGCAGUGUAGAGACAUCGAUUUUACACACUGACAACUGGGAUUUCAAGUGUAACAGGUGCUCCCUCAUCCUUAUGGACCUCUGAGUAAAUCUUUAAAGAAGAUUUCAUCUCUGGAGGAAAUGCAUGUGCGAAAGGAAUACCUUAUAAUCUGCAGCUGUCAAGUAGUCCAUGAGCCUGACAAGAUUUCCAGGAACAAGGACCAUUAAUGAAGUGUCCUGCCUGAAUCCAGAAUGAUUCCAUACUGACAUGAGAAAUUAGAAAGGGAGUAUCUCCCACUGCCAAAAACCAGAGCAUCUUUGGAUAGCUGGAGAAGUUCAUGGGCAUGUCAAAGGCUGACAGUGGAGAGCAAGAAGCCACCUGCUGCCAUGCCAGUGCACCCCUGAGAUGCUGGCUGUGAGGGUGGACCACUACCCUGUGCCGCACACCCCACACCUGCCAAUUCCUGCAGAAGGUGGUGGAGAGGAACAGAGGGAAGCUGAG